rnacentral:rRNA from 1 species
UGCAGUCGAGCGGGGGAGGUAGCUUGCUACUGGACCUAGCGGCGGACGGGUGAGUAAUGCUUAGGAAUCUGCCUAUUAGUGGGGGACAACAUCUCGAAAGGGAUGCUAAUACCGCAUACGUCCUACGGGAGAAAGCAGGGGAUCUUCGGACCUUGCGCUAAUAGAUGAGCCUAAGUCGGAUUAGCUAGUUGGUGGGGUAAAGGCCUACCAAGGCGACGAUCUGUAGCGGGUCUGAGAGGAUGAUCCGCCACACUGGGACUGAGACACGGCCCAGACUCCUACGGGAGGCAGCAGUGGGGAAUAUUGGACAAUGGGGGGAACCCUGAUCCAGCCAUGCCGCGUGUGUGAAGAAGGCCUUAUGGUUGUAAAGCACUUUAAGCGAGGAGGAGGCUACUUUAGUUAAUACCUAGAGAUAGUGGACGUUACUCGCAGAAUAAGCACCGGCUAACUCUGUGCCAGCAGCCGCGGUAAUACAGAGGGUGCGAGCGUUAAUCGGAUUUACUGGGCGUAAAGCGUGCGUAGGCGGCUUAUUAAGUCGGAUGUGAAAUCCCCGAGCUUAACUUGGGAAUUGCAUUCGAUACUGGUGAGCUAGAGUAUGGGAGAGGAUGGUAGAAUUCCAGGUGUAGCGGUGAAAUGCGUAGAGAUCUGGAGGAAUACCGAUGGCGAAGGCAGCCAUCUGGCCUAAUACUGACGCUGAGGUACGAAAGCAUGGGGAGCAAACAGGAUUAGAUACCCUGGUAGUCCAUGCCGUAAACGAUGUCUACUAGCCGUUGGGGCCUUUGAGGCUUUAGUGGCGCAGCUAACGCGAUAAGUAGACCGCCUGGGGAGUACGGUCGCAAGACUAAAACUCAAAUGAAUUGACGGGGGCCCGCACAAGCGGUGGAGCAUGUGGUUUAAUUCGAUGCAACGCGAAGAACCUUACCUGGCCUUGACAUACUAGAAACUUUCCAGAGAUGGAUUGGUGCCUUCGGGAAUCUAGAUACAGGUGCUGCAUGGCUGUCGUCAGCUCGUGUCGUGAGAUGUUGGGUUAAGUCCCGCAACGAGCGCAACCCUUUUCCUUACUUGCCAGCAUUUCGGAUGGGAACUUUAAGGAUACUGCCAGUGACAAACUGGAGGAAGGCGGGGACGACGUCAAGUCAUCAUGGCCCUUACGGCCAGGGCUACACACGUGCUACAAUGGUCGGUACAAAGGGUUGCUACACAGCGAUGUGAUGCUAAUCUCAAAAAGCCGAUCGUAGUCCGGAUUGGAGUCUGCAACUC